rnacentral:rRNA from 1 species
UACGAAGGGGGCUAGCGUUGCUCGGAAUCACUGGGCGUAAAGCGCACGUAGGCGGCUUUCUAAGUCAGGGGUGAAAUCCUGGAGCUUAACUCCAGAACUGCCUUUGAUACUGGAGAGCUUGAGUCCGGGAGAGGUGAGUGGAACUCCGAGUGUAGAGGUGAAAUUCGUAGAUAUUGGGAGGAACACCAGUGGCGAAGGCGACUUUCUGGCUGCCAACUGACGCUGAGACGCGAAAGCUAGGGGAGCGAACGGG